rnacentral:rRNA from 1 species
AGUGGCGAACGGGUGAGUAAUAUAUCGGAACGUGCCCAGUCGUGGGGGAUAACGCAGCGAAAGCUGUGCUAAUACCGCAUACGAUCCAUGGAUGAAAGCGGGGGAUCGCAAGACCUCGCGCGAUUGGAGCGGCCGAUAUCAGAUUAGCUAGUUGGUGAGGUAAAAGCUCACCAAGGCGACGAUCUGUAGCUGGUCUGAGAGGACGACCAGCCACGCUGGAACUGAGGCACGGUCCAGACUCCUACGGGAGGCAGCAGUGGGGAAUUUUGGACAAUGGGCGCAAGCCUGAUCCAGCAAUGCCGCGUGCAGGAUGAAGGCCUUCGGGUUGUAAACUGCUUUUGUACGGAGCGAAAAGGCCCUCUCUAAUACGGGGAGUUCAUGACGGUACCGUAAGAAUAAGCACCGGCUAACUACGUGCCAGCAGCCGCGGUAAUACGUAGGGUGCGAGCGUUAAUCGGAAUUACUGGGCGUAAAGCGUGCGCAGGCGGUUAUGUAAGACAGAUGUGAAAUCCCCGGGCUCAACCUGGGACCUGCAUUUGUGACUGCAUAGCUAGAGUACGGUAGAGGGGGAUGGAAUUCCGCGUGUAGCAGUGAAACGCGUAGAUAUGCGGAGGAACACCGAUGGCGAAGGCAAUCCCCUGGACCUGUACUGACGCUCAUGCACGAAAGCGUGGGGAGCAAACAGGAUUAGAUACCCUGGUAGUCCACGCCCUAAACGAUGUCAACUGGUUGUUG